rnacentral:rRNA from 1 species
UACGGGGGGGGGCAAGCGUUGUUCGGAAUUACUGGGCGUAAAGGGCUUGUAGGCGGCCAACUAAGUCAAACGUGAAAUCCCUCGGCUUAACCGGGGAACUGCGCUUGAUACUGGAUGGCUUGAGAUUGGGAGAGGGAUGCGGAAUUCCAGGUGUAGCGGUGAAAUGCGUAGAUAUCUGGAGGAACACCGGUGGCGAAGGCGACAUCCUGGACCGGUAUUGACGCUGAGGCGCGAAAGCCAGGGGAGCAAACGGG